GAUGAACGCUGGCGGCGUGCCUAAUACAUGCAAGUCGAGCGAACGGACGAGAAGCUUGCUUCUCUGAUGUUAGCGGCGGACGGGUGAGUAACACGUGGAUAACCUACCUAUAAGACUGGGAUAACUUCGGGAAACCGGAGCUAAUACCGGAUGAUAUUUUGAACCGCAUGGUUCAAAAGUGAAAGACGGUCUUGCUGUCACUUAUAGAUGGAUCCCGGCUGCAUUAGCUAGUUGGUAAGGUAACGGCUUACCAAGGCAACGAUGCAUAGCCGACCUGAGAGGGUGAUCGGCCACACUGGAACUGAGACACGGUCCAGACUCCUACGGGAGGCAGCAGUAGGGAAUCUUCCGCAAUGGGCGAAAGCCUGACGGAGCAACGCCGCGUGAGUGAUGAAGGUCUUCGGAUCGUAAAACUCUGUUAUUAGGGAAGAACAUAUGUGUAAGUAACUGUGCACAUCUUGACGGUACCUAAUCAGAAAGCAACGGCUAACUACGUG
rnacentral:rRNA from 1 species